rnacentral:rRNA from 1 species
AUUGAACGCUGGCGGCAGGCCUAACACAUGCAAGUCGAGCGAGCGGCGGACGGGUGUGUAUUGUAUGGGGACUGCCCGAUAGAGGGGGAUAACUACUGGAAACGGUAGCUAAUACCCCAUACUAUCGGAUAACCCAUAUGGGAUUAGCUAGUAGGUGAGGUAAUGGAUCACCUCGGCGACGCUCCCUAGCUGGUCUGAGAGGAUGAUCAGCCACACUGGAACUGAGACACGGCCCAGACUCCUACGGAGGCAGCAGUGGGGAAUAUUGCACAAGGGGCGCAAGCCUGAUGCAGCCAUGCCGCGUGUAUGAAGAAGGCCCUAGGGUUGUAAAGUACUUUCAGUCGGGAGGCGUUACCGACAGAAGAAGCACCGGCUAACUCCGUGCCAGCAGCCGCGGUAAUUC